GGGGAUUUGGCUUAGUGGUAGAGCGCUUGCCUAGCAAGCGCAAGGCCCUGGGUUCGAUCCCCAGCUCA
rnacentral:tRNA from 1 species